GGCCUGGUAGCUCAGUUGGUUAGAGCGCAGCCCUGUCACGGCUGAGGUCGUGGGUUCAAGUCCCAUCCAGGUCGCCA
rnacentral:tRNA from 1 species